rnacentral:lncRNA from 1 species
GUGAGAUGGACCAGAAUUUCCCUGAAAAUUGCAGUUAUUAUUGAAGAUUGCAUUUCUUCUACUUUUACUGCAGCUUACAAAUCAGAAACUAAAGUAUACAACUGUUUGGAUAAUCUAUUCUCUCCACAACAGAUUAAAAUGACAGAAUAAAUCUUGGAAGUUCUUGGAAGAGCUUUGAAUGAAUUAUAACCAGAGAUGAAAACAAGUGCCUGACAGAAGUAACAUUAACUUGCUGCCAGCUGGAAAUCAGUUCUUAUCUGACCUUCUGAUACAUACUAAACAGCUUGUGACUUUAGAGGGAAUUUCAUCUCUUCUUUGUGGCACUGACAUAAACUAGUAAAUAGCAAGUUUCUUCAUUUGACAUGUUCCAAUGUCAGCAAGAUCAGUGAGAAGCUAUAUGGAAAAUCUGCCCAUUUUUUAUCUACAACCUGUAGGAGGUAAGGCUUUUUAACAAGUCAAAAGGUCUUUCUCUAAAGCGAAUGUAGUGCAGAAGUUUGCCCUACUACUCACCUUUGUGUUUUCUAUUUUUUACUUUGCCAGUGCCCAGGGAUUAUAUUAUUUAUUUAGAUUUAAGCACUUUUCCCUAAAUACAAGAGGAAUGUAGGGUGUCAGAAGGGGAACAUUUAUCCACUCAUGCUCUUUGAGGAAAAAUGUAAUUGAUAACUGUUGGAAAGAUAUUACAAGGGCAUGUACUAUCAAUUGUGUCAAUGGGUACAGGAAGAAAAGCAAUAGAUGAAGCUUGGUGCUGGAGAAAUCAGUAUAGACAAAUGAUUUUCUCACAGUGAAUAAAUCAAGACUACUUACUGAAAAUAA